GACAGAGGUGCCGAGCGUUAGGCGGAAUCACUGGGCUUAAAGCGUGUGUAGGCGGGUCGUUAAGUGUCUUGUGAAAUCCCACCGCUCACCGGUGGAACGGCUGGGCAUACUGGCGACCUUGAGAGGCCUAGGGGCAGACGGAACAAGCGGUGGAGCGGUGAAAUGCGUAGAUAUGUGGAGGAACACCGAUGGCGAAGGCAGCCCCCUGGGUCAAGACUGACGCUCAUGCACGAAAGCGUGGGGAGCAAACAGG
rnacentral:rRNA from 1 species